ACUCACGCAGUGAGCGCAGAGGGAACUAUUCUUUUUGCCUUUUACUAAAGAAUACCGUAUGCGUGCUGCAUUUAGUGGAAUACGCCUAUUUUUGUAUGGGUUCUCAAAUUGAGUUCC
rnacentral:snRNA from 1 species